rnacentral:rRNA from 1 species
GUGGGGAAUAUUGGACAAUGGGCGCAAGCCUGAUCCAGCCAUGCCGCGUGAGUGAUGAAGGCCCUAGGGUUGUAAAGCUCUUUCACCGGUGAAGAUAAUGACGGUAACCGGAGAAGAAGCCCCGGCUAACUUCGUGCCAGCAGCCGCGGUAAUGCGAAGGGGGCUAGCGUUGUUCGGAAUUACUGGGCGUAAAGCGCACGUAGGCGGACUGUUCAGUUAGGGGUGACAUCCCAGGGCUCAACCCUGGAACUGCCUUUAAUACUGGCAGUCUAUAGUUCGAGAGAGGUGAGUUGAAUUCCGAGUGUAGAGGUGAAAUGCGUAGAUAUUCGGAGGAACACCAGUGGCGAAGGCGGCUCACUGGCUCGAUACUGACGCUGAGGUGCGAAAGCGUGGGGAGCAAACAGGAUUAGAUACCCGGGUAGUCC